rnacentral:rRNA from 1 species
AUUGAACGCUGGCGGCAGGCCUAACACAUGCAAGUCGAACGGUAACAGGAAGAAGCUUGCUUCUUUGCUGACGAGUGGCGGACGGGUGAGUAAUGUCUGGGAAACUGUCUGAUGGAGGGGGAUAACUACUGGAAACGGUAGCUAAUACCGCAUAACGUCGCAAGACUAAAGAGGGGGACCUUCGGGCCUCUUGCCAUCGGAUGUGCCCAGAUGGGAUUAGCUAGUAGGUGGGGUAACGGCUCACCUAGGCGACGAUCCCUAGCUGGUCUGAGAGGAUGACCAGCCACACUGGAACUGAGACACGGUCCAGACUCCUGAGGGAGGCAGCAGUGGGGAAUAUUGCACAAUGGGCGCAAGCCUGAUGCAGCCAUGCCGCGUGUAUGAAGAAGGCCUUCGGGUUGUAAAGUACUUUCAGCGGGGAGGAAGAGAGUAAAGUUAAUACCUUUGCUCAUUGACGUUACCCGCAGAAGAAGCACCGGCUAACUCCGUG